rnacentral:rRNA from 1 species
CGGCAACAGCUCAAAUUUGAAAUCUGGCUCUUUUAGGGUCCGAGUUGUAAUUUGGAGAGGAUGUUUCGGGUACGGUCCGGGCUUAAAUUUCUUGGAACAGAAUGUCAAAGAGGGUGAGAAUCCCGUCUGGAGCUCGGGCACGGCCUAUGUGAAACUCCUUCGACGAGUCGAGUUGUUUGGGAAUGCAGCUCUAAAUGGGUGGUAAAUUUCAUCUAAAGCUAAAUAUUGGCCAGAGACCGAUAGCGCACAAGUAGAGUGAUCGAAAGAUGAAAAGCACUUUGAAAAGAGAGUUAAAAAGUACGUGAAAUUGUUGAAAGGGAAGCGCUGGCAACCAGACUUGCGCGUCGGGGUUCCCCCUUGCUUCUGCUUGGGUUACUCCCCGGCGUUCAGGCCAACAUCGGUUUCGGGGGUUGGUUAAAGGCCUUGGGAAUGUACUUACCCUCCGGGGUAAACUUAUAGCCCAGGGUGUCAUGCGACCUCCCGGGACCGAGGAACGCGCUUCGGCUCGGAUGUUGGCGUAAUGGUUGUCAGCGACCCGUCUUGAAACACGGACCAAGGAGUCUAACAUCUAUGCGAGUGUUAGGGUGUCAAACCCUUACGCGGAAUGAAAGUGAACGGAGGUAGGAAGCCAUUAGGCUGCACUAUCGACCGAUCCUGAAGUUUACGGAUGGAUUUGAGUAAGAGCAUAGCUGUUGGGACCCGAAAGAUGGUGAACUAUGCCUGAAUAGGGUGAAGCCAGAGGAAACUCUGGUGGAGGCUCGCA